GAGUUUGAUCGUGGCUCAGAACGAACGCUGGCGGCAGGCUUAACACAUGCAAGUCGAACGCACCGCAAGGUGAGUGGCAGACGGGUGAGUAACACGUGGGGAUCUGCCCAAUGGUACGGAAUAGCUCCGGGAAACUGGAAUUAAUACCGUAUGUGCCCUUCGGGGGAAAGAUUUAUCGCCAUUGGAUGAACCCGCGUCGGAUUAGCUAGUUGGUGAGGUAAAGGCUCACCAAGGCGACGAUCCGUAGCUGGUCUGAGAGGAUGAUCAGCCACACUGGGACUGAGACGCGGCCCAGACUCCUACGGGAGGCAGCAGUGGGGAAUAUUGGACAAUGGGCGCAAGCCUGAUCCAGCCAUGCCGCGUGAGUGAUGAAGGCCUUAGGGUUGUAAAGCUCUUUCGCCGACGAAGAUAAUGACGGUAGUCGGAGGAGAAGCCCCGGCUAACUUCGUGCCAGCAGCCGCGGUAAU
rnacentral:rRNA from 2 species